AUGUACAGCAUAAUCAAAUCAUAUAUAUAAAUAGGAAUAUCAUUCACAUGUUUAUUCAUGACAAAAAGCAUUCGACAUCAAUUUGACUUAUAAGUUAAAAAUUAAGUUAAAACAAGUUAUGAAGGUGUUCGGCUCAUAAUGAUUUAUAAGUUAAAAUAAAUAUAAAGAUUAUUAAAAAGGGCAUUAAUAAAAGAGUACUUC
rnacentral:lncRNA from 1 species